rnacentral:rRNA from 1 species
UGUAAAAGGUUAGUUGUGCUAUUCAAACUCAGCCCCAAACAGCUCUACAGACAUUUAUUAGACUAAACCAGGUAGGGGAGGGAGGGUAGGGGGAAUCGGGAUAACUUUGCUGAUCAUAUUGGCUUGUGCCGGCGACGUUUCAAUUGAGUUUCUGCCCUAUCAACUUGUUGGUAAGGUAUUGGCUUACCAAGGUUGCAACGGGUAACGGGGAAUCAGGGUUCGAUUCCGGAGAGGGAGCCUGAGAAACGGCUACCACAUCCAAGGAAGGCAACAGGCGCGCAAAUUACCCAAUCUAGACAGUAGGAGGUGGUAAAGAGAAUUACUAAGUGGUGGUCGAAUUGAUCACUUGUUUGGAAUGAACGUAACUUAAGAAAUUCGAUGAUAAACAACUGGAGGACAAGUCCUGGUGCCAGCAGCCGCGGUAAUUCCAGCUCCAGUAGUUUGCUUUAAAGUUGUUGCGUUUAAUACGCUCAUAGUUGGAUCACGCAGCAAUGUCAAGUAAUCUGCUUUCUGAUGCCGAUCAUUUGGACCGUCAUCGCACGGCCAGUGAGAGAAUUUGUGGGUAAGAUGUUUUCGCUACCACUGUUA